GUACAAAAUCUAUGUAACCUUUUAAAAUUAAUAAUAUAGAAAAAAAUUACCCUUAUAAUAAUAAAUAUAAUAUAAUAUUUAUUAAUAUGUACAAAAAAAAAAAAAAAAAAAAAAAAAAAAAUAAAAAAUUUAUUAUUUAAAAUAUUAUUUUUUUUUAUUUUAUUAAAAAUUUAAUAUAUUAAAAUAAUCUUUUUUUUUAUGUUUUUUAUUUUUUUUAUUUU
rnacentral:sRNA from 1 species